UGGUCCGUUGGUCAAGGGGUUAAUACACCGCCUUUUCACGGCGGUAACACGGGUUCGAAUCCCGUACGGACUAU
rnacentral:tRNA from 1 species